ACGAAAACGUUCCGCGAUGAGGAGUGGUUUAGGUGAUUUUGCAAUAUCUCCACAAUCUCUGUGAAUGUUUUAUUUGAGGGCUUCAGAGGGGCAGUCAGAUCUCUUAGCAAACUGUACGUUUUUGGACCAAUUAAACUCAACGCUGGUUCUCUCUUGUUAUCAGCAAUGUCGUUUGCAAUUAAGUACUGUUCCAGUCGUUCAAUGGUCAUAAUCUUCCUCUCUUCCUACGAGCUCCAUCUGCAUUCGUGAUGCACACUGCAGCAGUGAUGGAUGCCGCGGUGUUCUGAUAAAGGAGGUCCGACCUGAAUCCCAGGGUUAAAAUACGGUUCCGGAAGGGCGUUGGGAAAUGCCCACCUCUGUUCACCCCAGGGGAAUUAUUUUUCCCCUUUGACGAGUUUAAAAUAGCGAAGUACAGUUAUACAUUGAUAUUGUGUACUGUUAUUGUUAAAAUAAUGCUUGUAUAUAACGUUAUCAUUAUUGUAGAAAUGUAAAACUUGAUGGUUAGCAGACUUGCCUUGGAGCUGGCCACUCCCCUUAUAGUCUCCUUGGAACGUCCGAUCAAGUCUGGAUGCUCCUGAUCAGCUCAACUUCCUGUGGCCCACAAACACAACCAUCACGUUAUUUUCAGAUUAGUUUCUAGUGAAAUAACGUCUAGGCAACAUUUAGUAAUGAUCCAAGUAUUUAGGUGAACUAGAGCAAAGACGAAUCAAUAUUUUUUUUGUGUCAUCAGCAGCUCCUCUACGCGGUCGCCGUUACCGACCGACAGGUUAGGUUAUCCGUGGCGAUGGCGAACGGGGUCUCGGUGGUGUCCAGCGCCUUCAACAGCCUCCUCUUCUGCCCCAGGAGGAGGUCUGUCUCGGCCACCAGCUUCUCGAUGUGGCGCUGCAGCUCCGACUUCCAGAAGUGGAUAUUCUGCAGUCUCUCGCCCAGGUGCCGCGUCCCCUCAGCUUGGGUGUGCAGAAUCCCGGACUCGGUCUCCUUAUACAGUGUUUUGGACUCAUGGUGAAUCCUCUCUGUGUUGUUUCAGUCUGUAACCACCUGGUGAAGGGUAGAGAAAGGCUUGAAGUGCCAUUCCUCUGAACGGUACCCCGCGGUAGCCAAGCCAGAGGAGGGAUACAAGUGUAUGUGGGCGGGAGGCCACUCUAAAAGUGUGCAAUGCCACAGAUGUCCCAAGUUUUGAGGGCGCAUGCAAUUGGCACGCUGACUGCAGGAAUGUUCACCAGAGCUGUUGCCAGAUAAUUUAAUGUUAAUUUCUCUACCAUAAGCCACCUCCAACGUUGUUUUAGAGAA